rnacentral:rRNA from 1 species
GAUGAUAACUAGCUGUCCGGGCACUUGGUGCUUGGGGGCGCAGCUCACGCAUUAAGUUAUCCGCCUGGGAGUACGGCCGCAAGGUUAAAACUCAAAUGAAUUGACGGGGGCCUGCACAAGCGGGGAGCAUGUGGUUUAAUUGGAAGCAACGCGCAGAACCUUACCAGCGUUUGACAUGGCAGGACGACUUCCAGAGAUGGAUUUCUUCCCUUCGGGGACCUGCACACAGGUGCUGCAUGGCUGUCGUCAGCUCGUGUCGUGAGAUGUUGGGUUAAGUCCCGCAACGAGCGCAACCCUCGCCUUUAGUUACCAUCAUUCAGUUGGGGACUCUAAAGGAACCGCCGGUGAUAAGCCGGAGGAAGGUGGGGAUGACGUCAAGUCCUCAUGGCCCUUACGCGCUGGGCUACACACGUGCUACAAUGGCGGUGACAGUGGGCAGCAAACUCGCGAGAGUGCGCUAAUCUCCAAAAGCCGUCUCAGUUCGGAUUGUUCUCUGCAACUCGAGAGCAUGAAGGCGGAAUCGCUAGUAAUCGCGGAUCAGCAUUCCGCGGUGAAU